GGGCUGUGGCUCAGCGGCAGAACACCUGCUUGGCAUGCAGAAGGCCUCCGGUUCAAUCCCCACCAAUACCU
rnacentral:tRNA from 1 species